GCCCCCGUACCCCAACUGGCACGAGGGCGACGGCUUAAACCCGUUGUGUUGUGGGUUCGAAUCCCACCGGGGGCA
rnacentral:tRNA from 1 species